GUUGUUCUACUGUGUGCGUGAUGAUUAUACAAUUUUUGACCAACACCUACACAUAGGGAGCCUGGACUCUAUCUGCGGCGCAUAUGCCUUUUUGCAGGACAUGUAAACCAGAUAGGAGGGCACCCACCUGGAAGAUAGGGAUCAAAAACAGUGAUCACACGGCAUGGUGGAACAUAC
rnacentral:other from 2 species